rnacentral:rRNA from 1 species
ACACUCCUGCGGGAGGCAGCAGUGGGGAAUUUUGGACAAUGGGCGAAAGCCUGAUCCAGCAAUGCCGCGUGAGUGAAGAAGGCCUUCGGGUUGUAAAGCUCUUUUGUCAGGGAAGAAACGGUGAGAGCUAAUAUCUUUUGCUAAUGACGGUACCUGAAGAAUAAGCACCGGCUAACUACGUGCCAGCAGCCGCGGUAAUACGUAGGGUGCAAGCGUUAAUCGGAAUUACUGGGCGUAAAGCGUGCGCAGGCGGUUUUGUAAGUCUGAUGUGAAAUCCCCGGGCUCAACCUGGGAAUUGCAUUGGAGACUGCAAGGCUAGAAUCUGGCAGAGGGGGGUAGAAUUCCACGGGUAGCAGUGAAAUGCGUAGAUAUGUGGAGGAACACCGAUGGCGAAGGCAGCCCCCUGGGUCAAGAUUGACGCUCAUGCACGAAAGCGUGGGGAGCAAACAGGAUUAGAAACCCGUGUAGUCC